GAGAGCACAGAUGUUGCCACUGUCAAGUAUUUGUGUGUUUGUGUACGUUACUUUAGUACAAAAGAACAAAAAAUUUUGAUUUAUUUCUUAGGAUUAAUUGACAUAGAAGAGGCUACAGCAAAAACUUUGCAUACGAAAUUAACAAAAUUCCUAACAAAUUUGGGAUUAAAAAUUUCAAAUAUGAUUGGGUUAGGCACAGAUGGUGCAAAUAAUCUCUGUGGACGACAUAAUUCUUUAUAUACCAGAUUAAAACAAGAUAAUCCUAAAAUUGAACUUAUUCGAUGCAUUUGCCAUUCGCUUGAUAAUGCAUCGUCUAAAGCGGCUAACAUGCUACCAUCAAAUUUAGAUUUUCUUUGUAGAGAAGUUUAUACAUGGUUCAGUCACAGUUCUGUUCGAAGAAUACAAUACAAAACAUUAUAUGAUAUUUUAAAUUCAGGUGAAAAAUCGUUUCACAAUUUUGUACAAUUAUGUUCAACUCGCUGGUUGUGUCGAUAUAACGUAAUAAAUGUGUUAUUAGAACAUUAUGAUGAACUAAAAACACAUUUUCAAGUUGUCGUAAAUAAAGAGAAAUGUUACACAGCUAGAACGCUUAACGAAAUGCUACAUGAUGAAACUAAUUAUUUGUAUCUGAUCAUUCUUAAACCUGUUCUUCAUGAAUUAAAUAAAACAAAUUGCAUUUUUCAGUCAAAUUAUGUUGAAAUUGGAAGCGCGAUUGAGGAUAUCAAAAGACUCAUUUUCUUUCUUGCUAAAAAAAUUUUGAAACCUUUGUUUGUUCAAAAUAUUAAUGACAUUUUAAAAAAUGCUGAUAAUGAACUUGCAUAUAAAGAAGUAAAUGAAAUAGAUUUUGGAAUUGAGUACUAUAAAUAUUAUCGUAAUGUAAAAACAUCUUUAACAAGGAAUGACAUAGAUAAUUUGGAACAACGAGCGAGUGAUUAUUUUAAAAAACUGUUACAAGAAAUAAUUCAAAGAUUGCCUCUUAAUAUUAAUCAUUUUCAAGAUAUUCAAGCACUGAGUCCGAAAGUAUGUCUUUCAAAAAUGAGACCAAAAUUUUCUGAUCUUCCUUUCAUCGAUGUAUUCAUUGAUAAAAAGGAAUUAUUUAAAGCUGAAUCCGAAUAUAAUUUAUUAACUGAUGUUGAUUGGAAUCUCUUAUAUGGAGAUAAUAUACUUAAAGAUAGUUAUCGCUUCUGGCCUGCCGUAGCACAACAUAGAAAUUCUGGAGGUUCCUUAGUUUUCAAUACAAUCGCAGAAUUUGCAUUAAAAAUAUUAUGUUUACCAAUGUCAAAUGCAACAGUUGAAAGAGUUUUCAGCAUCAUGAAUGCAACGAAAGAUAAAGUAAGAAAUAGAAUGGCGACAGAAAUGUUAAAUUCUAUCCUCAUGAUAAAAUCGCACUCUUAUACCAACAGUUAUUGUUGCAAUAAUUUUAUUUGCACUAAAGAGAUGUUUAAAAAAUUUAAUAAUUCAAUGUAUUCUAAUAUAAACGAAGCAGAAAAUGAACAAAAUAAUGAUUUUGAUAUUAUAGAGGCUGUGAAUAAUUUGAAUGAUACUGAUGUUUGUACUGAAAUUGAUUGUUUUUUAUAGAUGUUUGAAAUAUCCAAAAGUUUAUUGAAGUACAAUUUAAGCAUAAUUAUUAAAAUAAUAUAUUAAAAGACUGUUUAUUUAUAUAUUUUAAUAGAUAUUAGUAAUACUUACAUCUGAACAUGUUUGUGCAAUUUUAUUUUGUAAUUUAGUUAAGUUCUUUUUACAAAUUAUUUUUUGCUUAUAUUGGGUAUUUUGCAAUUAAAUGAUAUUGGUCUCUAUAUAGAAUUCAUUUUGUUUAAAGAAUUGUAUCUGCAUAAUUUGUAAAAAUUGCCAAUAAAAAUGUUUAUUGCAAUUUUGCAAAAGCGUUUUUAUCACUUUUAUGCCUUGGUUUGAAUAUUUCUUGAAUUUGGCGCAUGGUGGCGCAUUAGGCGUUCGAAGUUGGCGGACUAGUGCUUCUAAAACCUGGCAACCCUGCUCGUAGCUAAAUCGCGGGGAUUCUGGACUCUGGAGUCUGGACGAUUCGAUUCGUGUGCGAGCUACGGAAUUAGGUGGACGUUUGUGGCCGAGUGUUCUACUUACGCUUUAGUAUUGCAUCAUUCAACUAAGUUGAAAAGACCGGCCAAGUAUACCCCUGCACAGAAGACCAGAGCCAUCCAAACGAAAAAGAAAAAGAGAAAGGGGACGUCGACAACGACGAGGAGAAUAACGAUGGCGGAGAACAACGAGAGCAAGAAAAAGGUCAUCGAGGAUAUAAAGGAGAUGGAGUCGCUUAAAGAUGCGCCGCCGGACAAGCAGGAAAAGGACGCGGUUGCGAAGGUCGGUACUGUGACUGAGAAGAAUGUUCAGUUCCCGCUGGAUUCGCUGCUCUCGUCCAGUCUCAAUACGGAGUUAAAGGUCAUCAAGAAUGUGA